GGACCUAAGUAGAGAAAGCACUGGCUAGAAGAAAUGGAACUCCUUUGUCCCAACAGCCUGUUAUGAUUUGAAGGAAGAUGAUAAUGACUACUUCUGGAAUAACACAAUUUUAGAGCUCAAACAGACCUCAGCAGCCUUCUGGUCCAACUCAUAGCUAAAAAAGAAAUGAU
rnacentral:lncRNA from 1 species